UAUGGCCAUAUCUUGUUGAAACACUGAUUCUUGUAUGAUCACUGAAGUUAAGCAAUGUCAAGCCUAGUCAGUACCUAGAUGGGUGACCGCUUGGGAUGUUCAGAU